UAACACGGGGGGAGCAAGCGUUGUUCGGAAUCACUGGGCGUAAAGGGCGUGUAGGCGGUCAAGUAAGUGGAAUGUGAAAUGCCCCGGCUCACCCGGGGACCUGCAUCCCAAACUGCUUGGCUUGAGUAUGGGAGAGGAUGAGGGAAUUCCUGGUGUAGCGGUGAAAUGCGUAGAUAUCAGGAGGAACACCGGUGGCGAAGGCGC
rnacentral:rRNA from 1 species